AGGAUUUGAAUUGCAGGUCAAUCAUGUGGGAUCCAGCACCUUAACCUCACCAUAUGUUGGCCAGACUGAGGACAUUAUUUUUUGAAUUUGGUUGGAAAAUAUGAGCAUGCAGCUAGUCUGAGGUGCUCACAAUACAUUAAGUGCACUUGGAGCUUAUGAAAUGCUUGUGGAAUGAGUACUUGAGUUAUGCAUUUCAGCGCAUGCCCUGAUAGGACAACCAAAUAGCUGCUGAAAGAUGCCGCACGGAAGCUUGGCCUCCCCCCUGAGCUCUCCAACCUGGACAGGAGGCCUCCCCGCCUUUGUGACUGCCCACCCACCCCACCUGCUGCCCCUUCUCGCACCCCCAACACCUGGCUGUGGUUGCCUGUCUUCUCAUCCGUCUUCCUGGGUAGGCCGAACAGCGGAGGGCAGGGGACUGGGCCUCAGGAGGAAAAAGGAAUCUGAACUUUGGCCAGGGAAUAGGGCCUUCUGUUCUGAAGGGGACAGAGAUAGGAGAACCAAAAGUCCCUGAGGAAAGGGAGUCCAGGUGACAUCUCUGGAGAUGGACACUCUCUCUUCCUCCUCCCAAGGACAGCACUACCGCCCUGACCAGAGUCUUGUGCCAUUCCAGGAAGAAUGAGGAAAGUGCAAGGUGGAGGGACCCUGCCUUCCUGUGCCCCUCACACGUGCAGCAGUGCCUUCUGUGCCCCGCGUACGUACCAGUGCCUUCCUGUGCCCUGCGUGUGCGCACCAGUGCCUUCCUGUGCCCCACGUGUACAGCAGUGCCUUCUGUGCCCCGCGCGUGUGCGGCAAUGCCUUCCUGUGCCCCGCAUGUGUGCAGCAGUUGGCGGAGCGGGGUGGUACAUUGGAGAGCAGGCGUGGCCCUUGUGUUGGUUCUGACUCAGUCACAUUGCAGCCACACACAAGGCCCCGAACAGGCCAGUACACCUUUCUGGUUGCUUCUUGCACACUGAAGCUCUUUGCAGGGAAGGAAGUUGUGUAGCCAGUGUGUGGUUGUAGUGGCAGCAGGGAGGGCGUGUGCUCAUGCACAACCUGUCACUGUGGGAAUUCACGUGGAGUGACGUGCUGGCAGGGCAAAGCCGUGGUCUGCUCUGGGUCUCCUGCAGGAGCGCUGGCAUCCCUGCUCUGAUUGCUGGCAGCCAGUCUCAGACUCCAGGAAGCAGCAUCCUCACUCGCCCUCCUACCAUACAGUCAUCCUUUUCCUUGUCCGCCAUGGGAAGGCCCACGUGCCAGUGGGUUAGCCCUGCCCCUGCCCGGUCCAUGCUACUGGGGACUGCACCUUGGUAGUUCUCACUGCUGUCGCUGGGCUCUUUGGGUAGGGGUAUCAUUAGAUCAUUUUUUGAGUACAAAUAUCUGUGGCUAUAUUCUUGGCUUUUGUUUGUUUUAAUUUGCUACAAGAUGUGUGCUCCUUGGAA